ACUGCAAGUAUGACUAUCGCUUUGAUAAACUCAAAGAGGAAAGUCCGGACAGCAUAGAGCAACAUACCAUCUAACAGAUGGGCUUGCGUUUUUAGCAAGUAAGAAAGUGCCACAGAAAAUAACCGUCUUGCUUUAUGUAAGAUAAGGGUGAAAACGUGAGGUAAGAGCUCACGAGUUUUGAUGGUAACAUCAAAAUUGGGUAAACCUUAUGUGCUGAAAUGCCAAAUAAGUGAGCGUUUGAGAACUGCUCGUUUGAUGCUCAUGGGUAGGCAGAUACAUGCAAUUGGUAACAAUUGUGGUAGAUAAAUGAUAGUCUUCAUGUUUGUUAAAACUUGAAACAGAAUCCGGCUUAUAUACUUGCAGUUUUU
rnacentral:RNase_P_RNA from 2 species